UACAGAGGUCCCGAGCGUUGUUCGGAUUCAUUGGGCGUAAAGGGUGCGUAGGCGGCUUCCUAAGUUUGAUGUGAAAUCCUGGGGCUCAACCCUGGAACUGCAUUGAAUACUGGGAGGCUAGAGUACUGGAGAGGAAACUGGAAUUUACGGUGUAGCAGUGAAAUGCGUAGAGAUCGUAAGGAAGACCAGUGGCGAAGGCGAGUUUCUGGACAGUUACUGACGCUGAGGCACGAAGGCCAGGGGAGCAACGGG
rnacentral:rRNA from 1 species